ensembl:snoRNA
UAGCCCUGUGAUGUCCAGCACUGGGCUUUGACCAUCCUGAGGGUGUGGUACCUUUCCCAAGAACUUUGAUUCCAGAAGGUCUGGGGGACUG